UACGAGGGGGGCGAGCGUUGUUCGGAAUUAUUGGGCGUAAAGGGCGCGUAGGCGGUCGGAUAAGUCUUGUGUGAAAUCUUCGGGCUCAACUCGAAGUCUGCACAGGAAACUAUCUGGCUUGAGUGUGGGAGAGGUGAGUGGAAUUCCUGGUGUAGCGGUGAAAUGCGUAGAUAUCAGGAGGAACACCUGUGGCGAAAGCGGCUCACUGGACCACAACUGACGCUGAGGCGCGAAAGCUAGGGGAGCGAACGGG
rnacentral:rRNA from 1 species